CCUCAGUAGCGGCGAGUGAAGCGGCAAAAGCUCAAAUUUGAAAUCUGGCGUCUUUGGCGUCCGAGUUGUAAUUUGAAGAAGGUAUCUUUGGGCCCGGCUCUUGUCUAUGUUCCUUGGAACAGGACGUCACAGAGGGUGAGAAUCCCGUGCGAUGAGAUGACCCGGGUCUGUGUAAAGUUCCUUCGACGAGUCGAGUUGUUUGGGAAUGCAGCUCUAAGUGGGUGGUAAAUUCCAUCUAAAGCUAAAUAUUGGCGAGAGACCGAUAGCGAACAAGUACAGUGAUGGAAAGAUGAAAAGAACUUUGAAAAGAGAGUGAAAAAGUACGUGAAAUUGUUGAAAGGGAAGGGCUUGAGAUCAGACUUGGUAUUUUGCAUGCUGCUCUCUCGGGGGCGGCCGCUGCGGUUUACCGGGCCAGCAUCGGUUUGGAGCGGCAGGAUAAUGGCGGAGGAAUGUGGCACGGCUUCUGCUGUGUGUUAUAGCCUCUGACGAUACUGCCAGCCUAGACCGAGGACUGCGGUUUUUACCUAGGAUGUUGGCAUAAUGAUCUUAAGUCGCCCGUCUUGAAACACGGACCAAGGAGUCUAACGUCUAUGCGAGUGUUUGGGUGUAAAACCCGUACGCGUAAUGAAAGUGAACGAAGGUGGGGGCCCAUUAGGGUGCACCAUCGACCGAUCCUGAUGUGUUCGGAUGGAUUUGAGUAAGAGCAUAGCUGUUGGGACCCGAAAGAUGGUGAACUAUGCCUGAAUAGGGUGAAGCCAGAGGAAACUCUGGUGGAGGCUCGUAGCGGUUCUGACGUGCAAAUCGAUCGUCGAAUUUGGGUAUAGGGGCGAAA
rnacentral:rRNA from 1 species